CAAUAGCGUAUAUUAAAGCUGUUGCGGUUAAAAAGCUCGUAGUUGGAUUUCUGUCAAGGACAACUGGUCCGCCCUCCGGGUGAGCACAUAGUUUGGUCUUGACAUCUUGCUGGAAACUGUUGCUGCGCUUGGUUGUGUGGUGCAGCUUUCAGCACUUUCACUUUGAGGAAAUUGGAGUGUUUCAAGCAGGCACAUGCCUUUGGACACAGUAGCAUGGAAUAAUUAGAUUGGGCUUUUGCUCCAACUUGUUGGUUCCUGGAGCUGAGGUGAGAAUCAAUGGGGAUUGUUGGGGGCAUCCGAAUUUAGCCGUCAGAGGUGAAAUUCUUGGAUCUGCUAAAGACGGACAACUGCGAAAGCGUUUGCCCAGGAUGUUUUCAUUGA
rnacentral:rRNA from 1 species